GAAAGCUUACAACAUGUUACAACCUAUUUUUUAAAGAAAACAAGUUUUUUAAAACACUUCAUGUAAGCUGCGCGCAAUGUUUUAUCUCCUAAUCCAUAUAUGACGGGAUUUAGACUAGAACUUCCUAGAAAAUAUAACAUCAAGAUCCAGACAACGUGGUAAUCGGCCACAAUAUUCUGACCAAGUUGCAACUGUAAUAAUUUUAUAACUCGUGCAGGGAGUACUGCUGCAAAAAACUGAACAACGAUAACAAUACAUGUAUAUAAUGUCCUGUAGUUCCGUUCAAGUGCUGUAUUUGUUGCGGUUGUAUGGUCGCCUGUAGAAACCCCAGAAUGGAAUAACUGCUUUAUUCUGUUGUUAUGGUACAGCAGUGACCGACACAUUUUAGUAUAUAGUACAGCGAGAAGUAUAAGUGGAAGUAUUAUUACAAUGCUUUGCCACGUCCAUUCGUAGAUUUUGAAAUAUAGAUUUUGAUACCAUCUGCUUCUGCAAUCGAGUUCCACCGAAACAAAAACUGGAAGAUAUAGAAUGAAUACAAUGAUAUACACACCAGCAACAAUAUAGUUUAAUGCCUUUUUGCUUAACUUUGGGUGUAGUGGUUGUGUAACUGCUUUAUAACGCAGAAUUGCUAUAAUCACCAAAAAUGUAGUCUCGCAAACGAAGAUGCACUCCGAUAAAGGAAACGUAACUUUACAUGUUAUCUUGAGAAGGGUUGUAUAAGUUGACACACUUAUAUUCUGAUGAAUAAUCAACAUAGGAUUUAACAGCAAGCUAGCUGAAAGAAGCAGAGCGAUAUCACAGGCAGCAACAUGGAGAACAAGGAAAUAAUAAUUGGUUUUAAGGCGACGGCUUUUACAAAUAGCAAAAAUGACCAGAAUAUUGCCAAAUAAACCAAGCAGUGCAAUGAUAAUAUAACCAAGCGAUAUGCCUGGUUCUGCAGGUAUCGAUAUGGUGUAAUCAGUAGUGUUGUACAUGGCGCUUCAUAGGUUUCAAUAAUCGUCUUAUUGUCAAUGUUGCUCAGUUAUUUUUAUUCGCGAGACAACGCAAAGUAAUUAAGUCUUCAAAUAUGCUGCAGCUUAUAUAUUCCGUCACUAUAGCAAAGAAACAAUUAACAACGUACGCAGAUGACAUUUUAUUACAGAUGAAGUAGUAUACUCGUGUUUAUUGGACGUCGGCGCCUUUGAAGUUCCUCCCAUUUUUCGCGAGCGG